rnacentral:rRNA from 1 species
GAUGAACGCUGGCGGCGUGCCUAAUACAUGCAAGUCGAGCGAACAGACGAGGAGCUUGCUCCUUUGACGUUAGCGGCGGACGGGUGAGUAACACGUAGGUAACCUACCUAUAAGACUGGGAUAACUUCGGGAAACCGGAGCUAAUACCGGAUAAUAUUUCGAACCGCAUGGUUCGAUAGUGAAAGAUGGCUUUGCUAUCACUUAUAGAUGGACCUGCGCCGUAUUAGCUAGUUGGUAAGGUAACGGCUUACCAAGGCAACGAUACGUAGCCGACCUGAGAGGGUGAUCGGCCACACUGGAACUGAGACACGGUCCUGACUCCUACGGGAGGCAGCAGUAGGGAAUCUUCCGCAAUGGGCGAAAGCCUGACGGAGCAACGCCGCGUGAGUGAUGAAGGUCUUCGGAUCGUAAAACUCUGUUAUUAGGGAAGAACAAACGUGUAAGUAACUGUGCACGUCUUGACGGUACCUAAUCAGAAAGCCACGGCUAACUACGUG